rnacentral:rRNA from 1 species
GACGAACGCUGGCGGCGUGCCUAAUACAUGCAAGUCGAGCGCAGGAAGCCGUCUGAACCCCUCGGGGGGACGACGGUGGAAUGAGCGGCGGACGGGUGAGUAACACGUAAAGAACCUGCCCAUAGGUCUGGGAUAACCACGAGAAAUCGGGGCUAAUACCGGAUGUGUCAUCGGACCGCAUGGUCCGCUGAUGAAAGGCGCUCCGGCGUCGCCCAUGGAUGGCUUUGCGGUGCAUUAGCUAGUUGGUGGGGUAACGGCCCACCAAGGCGACGAUGCAUAGCCGACCUGGGAGGGUGAUCGGCCACACUGGGACUGAGGCACGGCCCAGACUCCUACGGGAGGCAGCAGUAGGGAAUCUUCCACAAUGGACGAAAGUCUGAUGGAGCAACGCCGCGUGAACGAUGAAGGCUUUCGGGUCGUAAAGUUCUGUUGUAAGGGAAGAACAAGUGCCGCAGGCAAUGGCGGCACCUUGACGGUACCUUGCGAGAAAGCCACGGCUAACUACGUGCAGCAGCCGCCGCAGUAACAC